AAAGUCGUAACAAGGUUUCCGUAGGUGAACCUGCGGAAGGAUCAUUACAAGAUUUGGAUGUGUGGGUGUGUUUGGGUGUUGUUUGGCUGGGUGGUGGAUUGUGUGGGUGUGGGUGUGCGCAGAUGGCUGGAUGUGAUCAGACGAAAUCAUUCACCAAUGCAGCAUAUCGAGCAUAUCACGCCAUCAACACUUUGCCACACAACAACAAACAGCACAACAUCAGCAGCUGCUCAGGCCUCGCAGCCUGGGUGUGCAUGUUUGCGCUUGCUUGUUUGACAAUAAUAUCAGUAAUCAGCCAAAUAAUACAACUUUUAACAACGGAUCUCUUGGCUCUU
rnacentral:misc_RNA from 1 species